rnacentral:lncRNA from 10 species
UACUGAAUGGCAAAGAAACGCUCCCUGAGAACUGCUGUAAGAAGAGCUUCCAUUCCCUUAUCCUCGUUGAUGCCAGGUCUGGAGAGAACAGAUUCCUGUUUUCACUCACAGCAGGUGUCCCCAGUGGAAUCAAAUGAACUUGCCGCCAUUACUCACUCGGACACUUCAUAAAUGGAACAAUUAAAACCCAAAUAGCAUACAGCAUGCUUCUAUUUUGUUCACAAACUUUAGAAAACCCUGCUUGAAAACUUACAGUUCUGUUAAUAUAUCUGGAGAAUACAUAAGACUGAACGUCAUGUGGCUGCUCAAACAACGAUUUUAUUUGCCUUUGUUGUGUUUGUUUGUUUUGUGAGACAGAGUCUCACUCUGUCGGCCAGGCUGGAGCACAGCGGUGGGAUCUCGGCUCACUGCAACCUCCGCCUCCUGGCGGGAAUCAAGUGAUUCCCCUGCCUCAGGCUCACGGGUAGCUGGAACUACAGGCACCUGCCACCACACCCAGCUAAUUUUUGUAUUUUUAAUAGAGACAGCGUUUCUCCAUGUUGGCCAGGACGGUCUUGAACUCCUGACCUCAGGUGAUCCACCCACCUCAGCCUCCCAAAGUGCUGGGAUUACAGCCCUGAGCCACCGUGCCUGGCCUGUCUUCAUUGCCUUUGAAAAGCCCCAGAUCCAGCCUUCUAGCACAAGAAGGAACUGCAUCGGUGCGGUUGUGAUGAAACCAUUUCGCAUUUACUGAGUGUGCACGCACUCAAUUACAACACGAACAUGUGAAACCAGAACAACGCACAGGAGGAAGAUACGGUGUUUCGUCCUGUUGCCCAGGCUGGUCUUCUAGGCUCAGCCAUCUGCCCAGCUCAGCCUCCCCAAGUGCUGGGAUUAUGGGAGUGAGCCACCUCGCCCAGCCUAAAAUCCAUUUUAAAAAAACAUGAGAAAUGAUUUGCAUUUGGGACUGAAGAAGAAUGAAAGGCACCUGUAGUUUUGACGCCAAGAAAGCCUAGUUAUACCUUUAUUUUAUUAACCUACUAUUCACCAGGUUUCUGAGUGUGGUUUCUCAGUGUGACCCUAACCCGUCUUAGGAGAGGCGGUGCUAGGAACUGCUAUAGGGGGGCACAGCAGGUGGUCCCUAAAGUUGUGAUGCUCAAGAGAUUCACAGAAUAUCUGAAGAAAAAAGACACGUUUGUUUUUGCAUUUUCUGUGGUUUUGCUGUUGUUGUUCAUCACAAAGUUUGCAGGUUUGCUACAAUUGUGAACAUUCAGAACAAAACACAGAAUAAGAUAAAAAUCAUCAGCUAUGCAAUUGUUUGUUUUUUAAAUACACAUUCUCAAGAUUUUGGUGUUGCUUUUUCUCAGGAUUUUUCUCUGGGAACAUGUUUAUCUUUUCCUGUAGCUGGAAUGACACUCAAUUUUUAGUUUGGGUUUCUUCUUUUAUUCAUCAUUAUCCUGUGGCAAGUGUUUCCCCAGGGUAUGAAAUAUUAUUAAAAGUACAGACUUUAAGGGCUGUUUUGCUGUUUAUCACGUGUAUCAUAAUGUAUUUAAUGCUCCCCAUCUUUUUUUGAAUAUUUAAGUAGCUUUCUGGGUUGAAAUCUUGUAAAUUACACUGCAAUAAAUGUGUUUAUCAUUGGUGCACAU